UGUAAUCAGAUUAAGUACACACACGAUCCUGACCCCGAAAUUCCACUCUCCUACCCUUACUUUUAUCGUUUGGGUUUUGGUUUAUUUUUAGCAUAUUCUUAAUCCGUCUGGGAUUUAUUUCGUUGUAGAGUGUAAGUAUUGAGCAAUAUUUAUUUUCCCCAAAUGUUUGGACUGUUGACUUAACACUUUUGAAUAACGCCCCCCUUUUAAGUCACUGGCAUGCUAUCGCUUACUAACGUCUUACAGAUUCCUGGGUCUGUUUCCAGGUGUUCAGUUUCCGAACAGUGGAUCUCGGAGCUGCCAAGCACUGACCCAUUUGGAGAAUAUUUAAUCCCUCCUGUACUUUGUGCUUUGAUGUCAAGAGCCAUGAACUCACUGCAAAUCCAAAGAAAAACCAGUCACAGAAACCAACGGCCGUUUUUUCCUGGGUUUUAUAGAAGAGCUUGAACACCCCUGGCUGGAGACACUAGACGAUGCUGAUUCAACCUGUCUCCUAUACCUAAGAAGUGACAAACCCAAGGCUUGGCUGCGGCUGCAAUGAAGAAUGACAAAGAGCUUUUCCAGAAAUAGUGCCCGCUCCUACGUAAACAGUGACAAUGUCACUCAGUUCAACAAGUCUCUUCUUCCCUACACAGCCAAGUUUAGAAUUAUCUUGAAGGUAUUCAAGCUAUUUGUCUUCUGUUCUUUCCAUUCCCCUUUAAACAAUAGAUCUAAAACACAUGGAGAACAAAACCGAGAAUUGGUUCUUUGAAAAGAUAAACAAAAUAGACAAACAAGAGAGAAACUAAAAUAACUAAAAUCAGAAAUGGAAGAGAGUCAUGACUACUGAUUGCAUAGAAAUAAAAAAGGAUCAUAAAAGAGUAUUGUGACCAAUUGUAUGCCAAGAAAUUGAAUAACCCAGAUAAAAUGGACACAUUCCUAGAAACACACAAUCUCCCAAGACUCAAUUAUGAAGAAAUAGAAAAUCUGAACAGACCUAUAACUAGUAAGGGGAUUUAAUCAGUAAUCAAAGACCUCAUGAUAAAGAAAAGCCUGGGACCAGAUGGCUUUAUUGGCAAAUUCUACUAAGCAUUUAAAGAAUUACACCAAUCCUGCUCAAACUGGUCCAAAAAUUGAAGAGGAGGGAACACUCCCAAAGUCAUUUUAGGAGGCUAGCAUUACCCUAACACUGAAGUCAGACAAAGACACUACAAGAAAAGUACAGACCAAUAUCUCUGGUGAAUAUUGAUGAAAAAUGCUUAACAAAAUACUAUUAAACAGAAUUCAGCGGCGGACUUAAUAUUGUUAAAAUGUCAGUACUACCCCAAAUGGUCUGCAGGUUCAAUAUAAUCCCUACCAAAAUCCCAAAGAUGGGUUUUUUUCAGAAAUAGAAAAAUCUGUUGUGAUAUUCAUAUGGCAUCUCAAAGGACCCUGAAUAGCCAAACCAAUCUUGAAAAAUAACAAAGUUGGAGAGCUCACACUUUCUGAUUCUAUUACUUGCUACAAAGCCAUGAUCAUCAAGUCAGGAUUGUGCUGGCAUCAAGACAUACCGACCAAUGAAAUAAAAUAGAGAGCUCAAGCCCAGAAUAAACCUUCCUAUAUUUGGCCAAAUUUUUUUGACAAAAUGUCAAGACCAUUCAAUGGGGAAAGGACAGUCUUUUCAACAAAUGGUGCUGGAAAAACUGGAUAUCCACACGCUAAAGAAUGAAGUUGGACCCUUAUCUUGCAACCAUUCAAAAUACAUCAAAGAUGUAAGUGUAAAGCUCUUAGAAGAAAACUUAGGGGGAAACCUUCAUGACAUUGGAUUUAGCAAUGAUUUCUUGGAUAUGAC